UACGUAGGGGGCGAGCGUUGUCCGGAUUUAUUGGGCGUAAAAAGCGUGUAGGCGGCCAGGUAGGUCUGCUGUGAAAACUCGAGGCUCAACCUCGAGACGUCGAUGGAAACCAUCUGGCUAGAGUCCGGAAGAGGAGAGUGGAAUUCCUGGUGUAGCGGUGAAAUGCGCAGAUAUCAGGAAGAACACCUAUGGCGAAGGCAGCUCUCUGGGACGGUACUGACGCUGAGACGCGAAAGCGUGGGGAGCGAACAGG
rnacentral:rRNA from 1 species